rnacentral:tRNA from 1 species
UGGGCUGUGGCUCAGCAGUAGAGCGCUCACCUAGCAAGUGCGAGGCCCUGGGUUCGAUCCUUAGCACCACAU